rnacentral:rRNA from 1 species
GAACGCUGGCGGCAUGCCUAAUACAUGCAAGUCGAACGCGAAAGUCACCUCGGUGUGAGUAGAGCGGCGGACGGGUGAGUAACGCGUAGGAAUUUGCCUAGUAGUGGGGGACAACUUGGGGAAACUCAAGCUAAUACCGCAUACGCCCUACGGGGGAAAGCAGGGGGUUUUCGAACCUUGUGCUAUUAGAUAAGCCUGCGGCGGAUUAGCUAGUUGGUAGGGUAAUGGCCUACCAAGGCGACGAUCCGUAGCUGGUCUGAGAGGAUGAUCAGCCACACUGGGACUGAGACACGGCCCAGACUCCUACGGGAGGCAGCAGUGGGGAAUAUUGGACAAUGGGGGCAACCCUUAUCCAGCCAUUCCGCGUGUGUGAAGAAGGCCUUAGGGUUGUAAAGCACUUUCAGUAGGGAGGAAAAGUUAGUCGUUAAUAACGGCUAACCCUGACGUUACCUACAGAAGAAGCACCGGCAAACUCCGUGCCAGCAGCCGCGGUAAUACGGAGGGUGCGAGCGUUAAUCGGAAUUACUGGGCGUAAAGCGCGCGUAGGCGGCCUGAUAAGUUGGAUGUGAAAGCCCUGGGCUCAACCUAGGAACUGCAUUCAAAACUGUCAGGCUAGAGUAUGGUAGAGGAUAGUGGAAUUUCCGGUGUAGCGGUGAAAUUCGUAGAUAUUAGGAGGAACACCAGUGGCGAAGGCGGCUUUCUGGACCGAUACUGACGCUGAGGCGCGAAAGCGUGGGGAGCCAACAGGAUUAGAUACCCUGGCAGUCCACGCCGUAAACGAUGUAAACUAGCAGUUGGGGGGCUUGUCCCCUUAGUGGCCGUAGCUAACGCGAUAAGUUCUCCGCCUGGGGAGUACGGCCGCAAGGUUAAAACUCAAAUGAAUUGACGGGGGCCCGCACAAGCGGUGGAGCAUGUGGUUUAAUUCGAUGCAACGCGAAGAACCUUACCAGGACUUGACAUCUAGCGAAUUUCGCAGAAACGUGAAAGUGCCUUCGGGGGCCAAGAGACAGGUGCUGCAUGGCUGUCGUCAGCUCGUGUAGUGAGAUGUUGGGUUAAGUCCCGCAACGAGCGCAACCCUCGGAUUUAGUUGCCAUCAUUUAGUUGGGCACUCUAGAUCGACUGCCGGUGACAAACCGGAGGAAGGUGGGGAUGACGUCAAGUCAUCAUGGCCCUUAUGGGCAGGGCUACACACGUGCUACAAUGGACGGUACAGAGGGUGGCCAAGCCGCGAGGUGGAGCUAAUCCCAGAAAACCGUUCGUAGUCCGGAUUGCAGUCUGCAACUCGACUGCAUGAAGUCGGAAUCGCUAGUAAUCGCGGAUCAGAAUGCCGCGGUGAAUACGUUCCCGGGCCUUGUACACACCGCCCGUCACACCAUGGGAGUGGGUUGUACCAGAAGUAGGUAGUCUAACCGUAAGGAGGACGAUUACCACGGUGGGUCAAAAAUGGGG